rnacentral:rRNA from 1 species
UGCCGCGUGUGUGAAGAAGGCCUUAUGGUUGUAAAGCACUUAAAGCGAGGAGGAGGCUACUUAGAUUAAUACCUAGAGAUAGUGGACGUUACUCGCAGAAUAAGCACCGGCUAACUCUGUGCCAGCAGCCGCGGUAAUACAGAGGGUGCAAGCGUUAAUCGGAUUUACUGGGCGUAAAGCGCGCGUAGGCGGCUAAUUAAGUCAAAUGUGAAAUCCCCGAGCUUAACUUGGGAAUUGCAUUCGAUACUGGUUAGCUAGAGUGUGGGAGAGGAUGGUAGAAUUCCAGGUGUAGCGGUGAAAUGCGUAGAGAUCUGGAGGAAUACCGAUGGCGAAGGCAGCCAUCUGGCCUAACACUGACGCUGAGGUGCGAAAGCAUGGGGAGCAAACAGGAUUAGAUACCCUGGUAGUCCAUGCCGUAAACGAUGUCUACUAGCCGUUGGGGCCUUUGAGGCUUUAGUGGCGCAGCUAACGCGAUAAGUAGACCGCCUGGGGAGUACGGUCGCAAGACUAAAACUCAAAUGAAUUGACGGGGGCCCGCACAAGCGGUGGAGCAUGUGGUUUAAUUCGAUGCAACGCGAAGAACCUUACCUGGGC